rnacentral:rRNA from 1 species
UACCGUGAAACUGCGAAUGGCUCAUUAAAUCAGUUAUCGUUUAUUUGAUAGUACCUUACUACUUGGAUAACCGUGGUAAUUCUAGAGCUAAUACAUGCUGAAAACCCCAACUUCGGGAGGGGUGUAUUUAUUAGAUAAAAAACCAACGCCCUUCGGGGCUUCUUGGUGAUUCAUGAUAACUUCACGGAUCGCAUGGCCUUGCGCCGGCGACGGUUCAUUCAAAUUUCUGCCCUAUCAACUUUCGAUGGUAAGGUAUUGGCUUACCAUGGUUUCAACGGGUAACGGGGAAUUAGGGUUCGAUUCCGGAGAGGGAGCCUGAGAAACGGCUACCACAUCCAAGGAAGGCAGCAGGCGCGCAAAUUACCCAAUCCCGACACGGGGAGGUAGUGACAAUAAAUACUGAUACAGGGCUCUUUUGGGUCUUGUAAUUGGAAUGAGUACAAUUUAAACCUCUUAACGAGGAACAAUUGGAGGGCAAGUCUGGUGCCAGCAGCCGCGGUAAUUCCAGCUCCAAUAGCGUAUAUUAAAGUUGUUGCAGUUAAAAAGCUCGUAGUUGAAACUUGGGCCUGGCUGGCAGGUCCGCCUCACCGCGUGUACUUGUCCGGCCGGGCCUUUCCUUCUGGAGAACCUCAUGCCCUUCACUGGGUGUGUUGGGGAACCAGGACUUUUACUUUGAAAAAAUUAGAGUGUUCAAAGCAGGCCUUUGCUCGAAUACGUUAGCAUGGAAUAAUAGAAUAGGACGUGCGGUCCUAUUUUGUUGGUUUCUAGGACCGCCGUAAUGAUUAAUAGGGACAGUCGGGGGCAUCAGUAUUCAAUUGUCAGAGGUGAAAUUCUUGGAUUUAUUGAAGACUAACUACUGCGAAAGCAUUUGCCAAGGAUGUUUUCAUUAAUCAGUGA